rnacentral:rRNA from 1 species
UACGUAGGGUGCGAGCGUUAAUCGGAAUUACUGGGCGUAAAGCGUGCGCAGGCGGCAUGAUAAGCCAGAUGUGAAAUCCCCGGGCUUAACCUGGGAACUGCAUUUGGAACUGUCAAGCUAGAGUGUAGCAGAGGGGGGUAGAAUUCCACGUGUAGCAGUGAAAUGCGUAGAGAUGUGGAGGAAUACCGAUGGCGAAGGCAGCCCCCUGGGUUAACACUGACGCUCAUGCACGAAAGCGUGGGGAGCAAACAGG